ensembl:rRNA 5S_rRNA 5S ribosomal RNA
GACCACAGCCAUAUCACGCUGCAGCCCAAGACCGAUUACUCACUGAAGCUGAGCAGGGCUGAGCCUGGUCAGUACCUGAAUGGGAGACCACACGAGAAAACUAGGUUGCUGUUGGAA